CCGGAGAAACGCUUCAGCACCACCCCAGGAGAAUAGAGCGCGGGCUGGGGCUGCGGAGGGACCCGGCGACCUCUGUCAGGAGCGAGGGGAGGGCCGGGACGCCAGGGAUAAAGGGAAAGGCAGAGACCAGAGCUGCCCACCCAGGGACUCCCAGGGCAACAAAGCCAGGCAAACUGAGAGCUAGAAGACUUCUGUUAGGAGAAGCGUUAUCCUGUCAGUUGAUUACCCUGAGUUAUUAUUAUUGCUGUUUGACAGAUGAAAAACUGACAUGGAGAAAAGUUAGACAAUUCCUCCAAAUCACAAAGAUAAUGCCUAGAUCUAGAAGCCAAACAGAUGGGUUGAAGGUGAUACCUAAUUUUAACAUUUGAUGACUCCUGCCAAAUUACCCUCUGAAAAGAAUUUAACAAUUUAUAUUCCUUCCACAUCAUUGCCUCUUUCCCCACAUCAUAAUGUAAGUCUUCUUAUUUUUUACUCACCAAAGGGAGAGAAAUAUUUACUGUUUAAAACUGAGCACCUUUUAAACUGCUUUUCUUUCUUUAUUGGCUUAACUCUUCAAGAUGUGUCUUUUUUCUGAUUGGACUAUUGUUUUUAUCUUUACUGGCUUUUAGAAGCUCUUUAUAUAAUCUGGAUAAUAAGCUUUCGUCAUCAAUAUAUGUUGCAGAUAUUUCCUCUCAGUGUGUCAUCAGAUUUUGUAUUUAUGUCUAUUUAUUAUGUCUGUGACCAUACAAAUUAUUAAAUUUCUUAUAAGGUUAGGCUAAGCUUCUUUCUUUAUGAGUUAAUGGGGGUUGUCUGUCUUAGAAAGGAUCUCUCAUUCCAAACCUUAAAACUAUUCUCCUAAUAAUUUUAGAUUUGUUCAACUGAGAGAGUGCUUAACUCAGGAGAUCAAUAAAGGUUCAUAGAGGAAGAAGUAUUUGAAAUUGUCCUGGAAGAACAAUAUUUUUCAACAGGCAGAGAUGGAGAAAGGACAAUCUACAUGAACAGAACAGCAUGAGCAAAAAGAACUGGUUAGAGACUAUCCAUAGGAUAAAUUUCUAGCAAAUUGCUGAGUCCAGGAUAUGCAUGUUUGCAAUUUUGGAAGAUCUUAAAAACUUGCCUCCUAUAGGUGUUGUACCAGUAUAUACUUCUGCCAGUAAUAGAUGGGUGGGCUGCUGAUGCCUCAAAAUGUAAGUAUUUUCAAACUUUUAAAUUUUAGCCCAUUUAACAUAAUUUAAAAAUUAUGUCUCUGUGUGAUUUUAGUUCCAUUUCCCUUAUUAUAUAUAAGACUGAACAUCUUGGCAUAUGUUUAAGGGCCAUCUGCAUUUCCUUUUCUGUGCACUGUCAGCUUAUAUGCUUUGCCCAUUUUUUCUAGUAGAUGGUUAGUGUUUUUCUUAUUGAUUUGUAUAUAUUCUGUAUUACUCCUUUAUCACAUUGCCACAAAGAAAUGCCUGAGAUGGUGUCAUUUAUAGAGAAAAGAGGUUUAAUUGGCUCACAGUUCCACAGGCUAUACAGGAAGCAUGGCUGAGGAGG
rnacentral:lncRNA from 1 species